UGGGGAAUUUUGGACAAUGGGGGAAACCCUGAUCCAGCCAUCCCGCGUGUGCGAUGAAGGCCUUCGGGUUGUAAAGCACUUUUGGCAGGAAAGAAACGUCGCGGGUUAAUACCCCGCGAAACUGACGGUACCUGCAGAAUAAGCACCGGCUAACUACGUGCCAGCAGCCGCGGUAAUACGUAGGGUGCAAGCGUUAAUCGGAAUUACUGGGCGUAAAGCGUGCGCAGGCGGUUCGGAAAGAAAGAUGUGAAAUCCCAGAGCUUAACUUUGGAACUGCAUUUUUAACUACCGGGCUAGAGUGUGUCAGAGGGAGGUGGAAUUCCGCGUGUAGCAGUGAAAUGCGUAGAUAUGCGGAGGAACACCGAUGGCGAAGGCAGCCUCCUGGGAUAACACUGACGCUCAUGCACGAAAGCGUGGGGAGCAAACAGGAUUAGAUACCCUGGUAGUCCACGCCCUAAACGAUGUCAACUAGCUGUUGGGGCCUUCGGGCCUUGGUAGCGCAGCUAACGCGUGAAGUUGACCGCCUGGGGAGUACGGUCGCAAGAUUAAAACUCAAAGGAA
rnacentral:rRNA from 1 species